ACUAUCCAUCCUUAGAGCACAGCUCUACUGUAAUGACUAUCCAUCCCUAGAGCACGGCUCUACUGUAAUGACUAUCCAUCCUUAGAGCACGGCUCCACUGUAAUGACUAUCCAUCCUUAGAGCACGGCUCUACUGUAAUGACUAUCCAUCCUUAGAGCACGGUAAUAGUAUUAUUCUAGAUUGUUGGUAAUAGUAUUAUUCUAGACUGUUGGUAAUAGCACUUUUCUAGACUAUUGGUAAUAGUAUUAUUCAAGACUAUUGGUAAUAGCAUUAUUCUAGACUAUUGGUAAUAGCAUUAUUCUAGACUAUUGGUAAUAGCAUUAUUCUAGACUAUUGGUAAUAGUUUUAUUCUAGACUAUUGGUAAUAGUAUUAUUCUAGACUAUUGGUAAUAGUUUUAUUCUAGACUAUUGGUAAUAGUUUUAUUCUAGACUAUUGGUAAUAGUUUUAUUCUAGACUAUUGGUAAUAGUAUUAUUCUAGACUAUUGGUAAUAGUAUUAUUUGAGACUAUUGGUAAUAGCAUUAUUCUAGACUAUUGGUAAGG
rnacentral:lncRNA from 13 species